ACACAGGGAUGCCCUAGUACGGCGAGUGAAGCGGCACAGCUCAAAUUUGAAAUCUGGCUUCGGCCCGAGUUGUAAUUUGUAGAGGAUGCUUUUGGUGAGGUGCCUUCUGAGUUCCCUGGAACGGGACGCCAGAGAGGGUGAGAGCCCCGUAUAGUCGGCCACCGAUCCUCUGUAAAGCUCCUUCGACGAGUCGAGUAGUUUGGGAAUGCUGCUCAAAAUGGGAGGUAUAUCUCUUCUAAAGCUAAAUAUAGGCCAGAGACCGAUAGCGCACAAGUAGAGUGAUCGAAAGAUGAAAAGCACUUUGAAAAGAGGGUUAAAUAGCACGUGAAAUUGUUGAAAGGGAAGCGCUUGUGACCAGACUUGCGCCGGGCUGAUCAUCCAGUGUUCUCACUGGUGCACUCGACCCGGCUCAGGCCAGCGUCGGUUCUCGCAGGGGGAUAAAAGCUUCGGGAACGUGGCACCUUCGGGUGUGUUAUAGCCCGCUGCUUAAUACCCCUGUGGGGACCGAGGUUCGCGCUCUGCAAGGACGCUGGCAUAAUGGUCAUCAGCGACCCGUCUUGAAACACGGACCAAGGAGUCGAGGUUUUGCGCGAGUGUUUGGGUGUAAAACCCGCACGCGUAAUGAAAGUGAACGUAGGUGAGAGCUUCGGCGCAUCAUCGACCGAUCCUGAUGUAUUCGGAUGGAUUUGAGUAAGAGCGUAUAGCCUCGGACCCGAAAGAUGGUGAACUAUGCCUGAAUAGGGUGAAGCCAGAGGAAACUCUGGUGGAGGCUCGCAGCGGUUCUGACGUGCAAAUCGAUCGUCAAAUUUGGGCAUGGGGGCGAAAGACUAAUCGAACCAUCUAGUAGCUGGUUACCGCCGAAGUUUCCCUCAGGAUAGCAGUGUUGUUCUUCAGUUUUAUGAGGUAAAGCGAAUGAUUAGGGACUCGGGGGCGCUAUAUAGCCUUCAUCCAUUCUCAAACUUUAAAUAUGUAAGAAGCCCUUGUUACUUAAUUGAACGUGGGCACUCGAAUGUAUCAACACUAGUGGGCCAUUUUUGGUAAGCAGAACUGGCGAUGCGGGAUGAACCGAACGCGGGGUUAAGGUGCCAGAGUGGACGCUCAUCAGACACCACAAAAGGCGUUAGUACAUCUUGACAGCAGGACGGUGGCCAUGGAAGUCGGAAUCCGCUAAGGACUGUGUAACAACUCACCUGCCGAAUGUACUAGCCCUGAAAAUGGAUGGCGCUCAAGCGUCCCACCCAUACCCCGCCGUCAGGGUAGAAACGAUGCCCUGACGAGUAGGCGGCCGUGGGGGUCAGUGACGAAGCCUAGGGCGUGAGCCCGGGUCGAACGGCCCCUAGUGCAAUCUGGGGGGGUUAGUAA
rnacentral:rRNA from 2 species